UUUGUGGUAUGUUUUUUUGAUCAUUCCAUGUUUCCCUGCACUGCUUGCUUUCCAGAUGGCCGCAUUUCUGUAACAGAAGAGUCACAAUAAGCUGCAAUCUGUUCAUGUGAACCUUGUCAAAAUUAUUAUCAGCUUGUCAGUGAAGAGCUAUCCUUCAUUCGUAAGGAGCAGGUGUGAGUUUCUGAAAUUAUUGGCUACCGCUCGUGUUCUCCUUGUGUCACGCUACGUUGUGAGUCUGACAGUACGAGGCAUGUUUUGCCAGCAGCCUGGUUCUGAAAAGCAAGCAGCAGAUUUCAUUUACAGCCAGGUGAUUAUUAUGAAGUUAGAUGCACUUUGUUUUCUGAACACUCGUAUUCGUGGUUGUUUUGUGUUUUACUCUGUUCGUCAUCAAACUACUACUCUUGGAAUUGACGCCUGAUCGAUAGGAUCAUGGAACUGGAUAAAUCUCUUAUGUGAAAAUUUCAUCCUCUCUGUUUGUGUAGGAUCUAAUACAGCUAGGCUUCUGACGGAGAAAAUUGCAGGAGGCUUCUUCUCCUAUACUCUGCCCAGCCGCAGCACAGGAGGAAAGCAGCCAGACGUGGCCGCGCUGCUCUUGGGUUCUUCUACAGCGAUGCGUCGGCAGGCGACCGGCUGCUGCAGUGCUUCUACUACACCUCCUGGUGCGUUUAUAUAUGUUGUGUAGGUUUGCAUUGGGUAGAAGUUCUUUGUCUGUAAUUGUGGUUUGAUUUGAUACUAAAUCGUGUGUAAGUGUGCCUUUUUUUUUCUUGCGGAAGUGUGUAAUUGUGUCUGCAAGUGAAAUCAUCUUGAGCAUGAUAGAGAUAAAUAGCUUACAGAAAUCUAAUGGUACUCCUCCAUUUAAAGCAGACAUAUAUAGUCAGGACUUGACAUCAGGAUCGAUCACACCCGUAUCCGUAUCAAAAAUUCCAAGAUGGGAUGUGAUUUGAUACGCUCUCUGUUUUUUUUUGAGACACUGAUACGCUCUCUGGUGGUGCCACAAUUAAAGCCCAUGUGGCAGACCAGAUCCAUGAAAUUCAAAAUGGGUUAUGCAGUGAGUUAAUAGUAGGAUCGAAACUGUUUG
rnacentral:lncRNA from 1 species